UACGUAGGGUGCGAGCGUUAAUCGGAAUUACUGGGCGUAAAGGGCGCGUAGGCGGCCUUCUAAGUCGAACGUGAAAUCCCCGGGCUCAACCCGGGAACUGCGUCCGAUACUGGGAGGCUUGAAUCCGGGAGAGGGAUGUGGAAUUCCAGGUGUAGCGGUGAAAUGCGUAGAUAUCUGGAGGAAUACCGGUGGCGAAGGCGGCAUCCUGGACCGACAUUGACGCUGAUGAGCGAAAGCUAGGGGAGCAAACGGG
rnacentral:rRNA from 1 species